rnacentral:rRNA from 1 species
UACAGAGGUCUCAAGCGUUGUUCGGAUUCAUUGGGCGUAAAGGGCGCGUAGGUGGCGCGCUAAGUCGGGUGUGAAAUUUCGGAGCUUAACUCCGAAACUGCAUUCGAUACUGGCGUGCUUGAGGACUGGAGAGGAGACUGGAAUUCAUGGUGUAGCAGUGAAAUGCGUAGAGAUCAUGAGGAAGACCAGUGGCGAAGGCGGGUCUCUGGACAGUUCCUGACACUGAGGCACGAAGGCCAGGGGAGCAAACGGG